GACCACUAUGACGGAGUUUCCUUCCUCCGUGGGCUCGACCAACGUUACUAACCUAGUCUAGUAACCACUAGUAACGUUGCUUCAAGGUGUUCAAGGUGUCCUGUCUCUUCGAGAACGAUGCCAAUCCGAAGUCACAAUAUACCGGCAUUGCCCAUGCAUACCACAGCGCAGCAGCAUGUUCUUUGGUUCUUUGUUCUAUGGCAGCGCCAGAUUUCCCUCUAGGUAGUGCAGUGAGACCACGAAGAAAGAAGCCAUUCCAGGAUUAUUUGGAUGAGAUAUCAAGUCUAUGGACGACUAUUUCAAGAGUGAAAAGAGCCUCCGCCAUCAUUCCACCAGCACGGAUAUUGGCCGAGUCAUCCAGAAUUUAGGUUUAUCAUGGUUUAAUGAUCACUGUUGUUGGACAGCUGGAGAACCUCCUCCUAAUGCCAGUGGCAUCUGUAAGUCCAGGGGCUGAAGCCAGCAGAGUGACAACGUUACUACCAGUCGCUGAGAGCGAGCGGCCCCCGACCGUAUACGUGCCUGGGCAGUACCUGGAAAUAGAAAUGCCUCCCAUGCCAAAGACCAAACCCCGAAGUAUUACAUUCCGGGUUUCGAAAAGGAGGACCUAGAAACGAGGUUGGGAGCGUCGACCUUGGCCUAUCGUCACAUCAAAGCGCGUGCAGAAGAGCUUCCACGCCGCCUUGACCCUCGCAGAAGAAGCUGAAAUUUGGACUGCCUGCACCCCAUCUACGGCGCUCGUCACCAGCAUCACGUGUAUAAAGGCUGCUCGUCCUGGCGUAGUGGCAUUCGGCGGCAGCAGCAGCAGCGGCAGGGAAACACUGAAUCUAAGCCUGCGCUCUGCUUUUUGCAGGUUGGUACCUUUCUGUACGGCUGCCUUCUGAGUAUAUACUGUUGCUGCUGCUGCCACUGCCAUUACACUACUGCCAGUGCUUAUGUGUUA